UCUCUACUCUCUAACUCUCUAUCUGAGUAUCUAUCUCUCUCACUCUCGAAGUCUCGAUCUCAUUCCAAAAUCCAAACUCUCAGCCCUCUGCCCGGAGGACCGCCCAGUACGCACCGCCGAAUUGACUCUGAGUUCUCCACCUCCCUCAUCCACCUCCACCCUUUGGACAAGAUUUAACCUUCCACAAACGAACCUUCUCUGCUCAUUUUGAAGGUUGAAGUUUGCUGAGAUUGCAAGAUGAAAUGAUGUUAAUUAUGAUAUAACAUAAACAGCGUUGGGAAUUGUUAGGACUAUCUGAUGCCCUGGACUUGCUGGAGAGAGGGAGGGAGUUUCAGGCCAGUGGUGACUUUCACCAAGCUCUUCUUAGCUUUACUCAGAAAGUGGCAAGAACUGGAAUGCUAAUUGGGAGUCAUGGAGAAACCUUUUGGGGUUUGCAGAGCUUCUGAAUCUCCAAGCUGCAAUUGCUUGAAAGGGUUUAUACUUUAUACCCAAGUCAAAUGAAGAAUGGAGCAACAGAAACUGGACUGGAGGUUUUGUGAGACAAACGACUUUAUCUUGUGAGACACAUGCAAAUGAAUCAGUCUCAUCAAAAGAAAAAGAUAGGUUCUUGAAGGUGGAAAGAUUGAAAGUCCCUGAUUUUCAUAAAUAUGUGACUUCUUUGGCUAUGGACAGGUUUGAGGACUGCAAGAUGAAGUGCCUGAGUAAUUGUUCAUGCCUGGCCUAUACUUAUGUUAAUAACAUAGGAUGUUUGGUGUGGUACAAAGAACUUUUUGAUAAUCAGCAGUAUCCAUCUCUUGGAGAAGAUCUUUAUAUCCGCCUAGCAUACUCAGAGCUAGGUGAAGGAAAACCAAGAAAGUUAAUUGCCAACCUUACGAGUUCAUGCCUAACAAAAGCUUGGAUACUUUCCUAUAUAUGGCUAUAUGGCUCCAGAGUAUGCAAUGGGUGGGAUAUUUUCUGAAAAGUCUGAUGUCUACAACUUUGGGGUUCUGGUUUUAGAGAUCAUAAGCGGCAAGAAAAAUACCAAAUUCUAUUUAUCAGACUAGCAUAUAGGCUUCCAUGACUAUGUAAGUUUAUCCUCUGAAACUUAAUGUAAUUGGUGCCUAACUGCCUAUGGCUUUGGGUCUUAACAGCAAUUAAUGGGAUCUUUUUCAGGCAUGGAACUUGUGGAUUGGAAGGCAGGGUAUUGGAAUGUUGAUUGAAUGAUUGUAAAUUUGUAAUCAUGAAGUAAAUUACUCUAGAUA